rnacentral:tRNA from 1 species
GGGUGUGUAAUUCAGUGGCAGAGCAUAUGCUUAGAAGGCAUGAGGUCUUGGGUUCAAUUCCCAGCACCA